CGGGGCUGUGAGCAGAGACAGGAACCGGGGCUCGGCUGCAGCUGCAACGUUUCCUGUUUGACAGAGCGAGGAAGAAAAGAGAGUGAGAGCAGAAAACGAGGGGGUUGGCACGAAGAUGGCAGUGGGAGCGUGUUCAUGCCUGAUAACACCCUGCUCCUGCACAGCAGUCCAGGGGUAGGACAGGACCUCUGGGGCCAGUUCCACCAGGCCAGAGGAGCUCGGGGAGGUCACAGCCCAGGAUGAUCAGCCAGCCCGGGGUGGGGUCCCGGCCCCGGCGCUCGGGCGAGAGCUACGAGGAGAAGUGCGAGCGGCGGCAGGAGGGCAGGGAGAACCUGCGCAGGAGGAAACAACGCGACCACCUGCCGGCACCCACGAGGGCAGCGGGGCAGCCACCCCACAGCCCCGCGCCAGAGGGAGUUCCUGAGGAGGAGAAAACCUGGCGGGCGAGGGGAAGGAUGCCCGAGGCGGGAGCCGGAGGCGCGAACCCCACCGGGCUCCUCACCGACCGUCCUGCUCCAGGACUUGUGGAGCAGCCCCACGUCACCCCCUGCACAGCCCCUGCUCCACCUCCACAUCCCCCCUGGCAUUCCAGCAGAAACCAUUCCUGGGCAGAGUGACUCUGUGAACACCCAAGGUAGGUGAGGGAUGCUCUGGUUUCCCAGCACAGCAGCAUCCACAGCAUCCCUUUCUCACCUCCCUGUCUCCA
rnacentral:lncRNA from 1 species